UAUUAUAGGAACCACUACCGUUCUUAUGCAAGAGAAAAUAUAAUCCAACCAAAAAUAACCAACAGAAUAGUAAGCAAGUAAUUAGUUCUAUAACGCAAAAAAAGAAAAAGAAAACAACUUUUAUGCAUACUCCGCAUACUAUAGUUCAAGGAUCAGCAAUGGCAAGAUUUUCCUGAAGAAAGAGAGUAUUUUAAUAUAGUGCAAAGACAAGGUCGCAUGUGUGUUUUUCCACAGAAAAGAAAAAAGUCGUUUUACCAGUGACGCCUGCAUUUGUUUCCCUUAUAAGAAAAGCUACUAAAAAAGAUUCCUUAUCAAAUGGAAAGUCUCCCAUUAUUGAGGAAGAAUUUCAGAAGAAAGUUUUAAAUCCACUGGUAGAAAUGAAAGAGAUGUUGGUAAAGCUCUUUCCAGUAAUUAAAAUAAUAUCACAAAAAAUAAUCCUGAUAUUUUAUGGAUGAAUUCACAGCAGUCGUUUAGUAAUUAUGAUGACAGUUUUAAUGAUUUUUGGGUGAGGUCUGAAGUUAGGUUUUCAAAUCAUGACUUUUUGCAACUUUUUUA
rnacentral:lncRNA from 1 species